UGGGGAAUAUUGCACAAUGGGCGCAAGCCUGAUGCAGCCAUGCCGCGUGUAUGAAGAAGGCCUUCGGGUUGUAAAGUACUUUCAGCGGGGAGGAAGGCGAUAAGGUUAAUAACCUUGUCGAUUGACGUUACCCGCAGAAGAAGCACCGGCUAACUCCGUACCAGCAGCCGCGGUAAUACGGAGGGGGCAAGCGUUAAUCGGAAUUACUGGGCGUAAAGCGCACGCAGGCGGUCUGUCAAGUCGGAUGUGAAAUCCCCGGGCUCAACCUGGGAACUGCAUUCGAAACUGGCAGGCUAGAGUCUUGUAGAGGGGGGUAGAAUUCCAGGUGUAGCGGUGAAAUGCGUAGAGAUCUGGAGGAAUACCGGUGGCGAAGGCGGCCCCCUGGACAAAGACUGACGCUCAGGUGCGAAAGCGUGGGGAGCAAACA
rnacentral:rRNA from 1 species